UACGAAGGGGGCUAGCGUUGCUCGGAAUCACUGGGCGUAAAGCGCACGUAGGCGGACUCUUAAGUCGGUGGUGAAAUCCUGGAGCUCAACUCCAGAACUGCCUUCGAUACUGGGAGUCUCGAGUCCGGGAGAGGUGAGUAGAACUGCGAGUGUAGAGGUGAAAUUCGUAGAUAUUCGCAAGAACACCAGUGGCGAAGGCGGCUCACUGGCCCGGUACUGACGCUGAGGUGCGAAAGCGUGGGGAGCAAACAGG
rnacentral:rRNA from 1 species